AGAGUUUGAUCAUGGCUCAGAACGAACGCUGGCGGCAGGCCUAACACAUGCAAGUCGAGCGCCCCCUUCAGAGCACAGAGAACGGCAUACGGGAUCGGAAGCGCCGUGNNNUGAUCGCGCGGUGGGUUUUCUGAUGCCUGUUAUUCGUUUCUGUUUUCUGAUGGGGGAGCGGCGGACGGGUGAGUAACACGUGGGAAUUUUCCUCAAGGUACGGAACAACCCAGGGAAACUUGGGCUAAUACCGUAUGAUGUCUAGCGACCAAAGAUUUAUCGCCUUGGGAUGAGCCCGCGUCAGAUUAGGUAGUUGGUGGGGUAACGGCCUACCAAGCCUGCGAUCUGUAGCUGGUCUGAGAGGACGAUCAGCCACACUGGGACUGAGACACGGCCCAGACUCCUACGGGAGGCAGCAGUGGGGAAUCUUGCGCAAUGGGCGAAAGCCUGACGCAGCCAUGCCGCGUGAAUGAUGAAGGUCUUAGGAUUGUAAAGUUCUUUCGCCCGUGACGAUGAUGACGGUAACGGGAGAAGAAGCCCCGGCUAACUUCGUGCCAGCAGCCGCGGUAAUACGAAGGGGGCUAGCGUUGUUCGGAAUUACUGGGCGUAAAGCGCGCGUAGGCGGUUUUGCAAGCCAGAGGUGAAAUGCCUGAGCUCAACUUGGGAAUUGCCUUUGGGACUGUGAGGCUUUGAGGACUGGAGAGGUGAGUGGAAUUCCCAGUGUAGAGGUGAAAUUCGUAGAUAUUGGGAAGAACNNNGGUGGCGAAGCGCUCACUGGCCAGUUUCUGACGCUGCAGNNCGAAAGCGUGGGGAUCAAACAGGAUUAGAUACCCUAGUAGUCC
rnacentral:rRNA from 1 species